UUUUCUUAUAUAUUUUUCAACACUCGUGUUCCUGAAGAUCGAGUAAACUAAUAAUCUUAGUUACUUUUGCAAGAUCUUACACAUAGUUCUGGACUGUUUGCUCCACUUGUGACGAAAUUCCUAGAAAUUUCUUCAGUCAUCGCCAUGCAUGAACAUAGAACAGUGAGAACACUUUAGAAGCCUAUCGAUCUUAUCUCUUAAAAUGAAACAAAAAGCAAUAGGUCGUUGAAAAAAAUGUGAAACGUUGACAAAUGGAUCUCUGCAGAAAACUAUUGCAAAGUGGAAGCAUAAAGUAAAGCGAUAGAUCGGAGAGGCUUCUACUGCAAUUUUGAUUAAUUAAAUGAAAGAAAAGAGCUGAACAUAAGAAUAUUUUACUAACUAAAUGUGUCUCGUGUAAUUUAUCACAUAUAUAAUUCCAAUAAUAAUGCAUGUUCUAAUUAAUGCUUGUUAUGCCAUUUUUAUCCAUAUAGCGUAAUUCCAAAUACACCCGUGUGCCUCCAUCCUCCCUGCCCCUCUUGCCGCACACCCUCCUCUUACAUCUAUCCACCCUCCCUGGUGACCACAUGUCUCUUGUGAUACUUGACCGGCAGUCCAUGUAUACUUCCCUCGAUUACAACCUCCAAAAUCCACCUCCCACCAACUAGCACAAUGAAAUAAGAGUUCUCCUAGUUCCCACAUGCCAUAUGCUCCUAUCCGAAGGAAGUUUGGGGAUAUUGACAAAGUAUAUAUAGUAGAAUUAGCCAAAUUAGAAUUCCACCAAGACCAGGAUAAGAAUCAAAAUAUCGUAUUCUUUUAGACGCGGAAAUCCAGAUUAUAAAAAGGGAUAUACUACUAAAAAAUAAUUAUCUACCAAGAAAGAAUAUCCUCCCAAAAUCGAGAAAGAUUUCCUAUAUCCCUUUCCGGGUGCCUGCAUCUAGGCUAGGGAAGCAUGCAACCAUGAAACCAUGUCGAACAAGAGACCCCCUCCCAUGAGGCCAUGACUAUCAGCGGAUCAAGAGUAUGU
rnacentral:lncRNA from 1 species